rnacentral:rRNA from 1 species
GACGAACGCUGGCGGCGUGCUUAACACAUGCAAGUCGAACGGAGCGAAUGAAAGCUUGCUUUUAUGAGCUUAGUGGCAAACGGGUGAGUAACACGUAGACAACCUGCCGACAGGAUGGGGACAACAUUCCGAAAGGAAUGCUAAUACCGAAUGAAGCGGAGGAGAGGCAUCUCUCUUCCGUGAAAGAUGGCCUCUGAAAAUGCUAUCACCUGUCGAUGGGUCUGCGUCUGAUUAGCUAGUUGGUGAGGUAACGGCUCACCAAGGCGACGAUCAGUAGCCGGUCUGAGAGGAUGAACGGCCACAUUGGGACUGAGACACGGCCCAGACUCCUACGGGAGGCAGCAGUGGGGAAUCUUCCGCAAUGGGCGCAAGCCUGACGGAGCAACGCCGCGUGAGUGAAGAAGGUCUUCGGAUCGUAAAGCUCUGUUGACGGGGACGAACGU